CCGAGUUUACAACUCCCAAACCCCUGUGAACUAUACCUUACACGUUGCUUCGGCGGACCACCCUCGCCUCGCCGCGAGGGCCCGCCAGAGGACCCAAAACCCAACUUUGUUUUGUAUUACAUAACGAAUUCUGAGUGGAUUUUAUAAAUCAAAUCA
rnacentral:misc_RNA from 1 species